rnacentral:lncRNA from 1 species
UAAAAACAACAUUAUAGGCAUUUUAAUUUAUUUAAAAAGAUGUGUUUCUUUGUGUGCUUCUUUGAUUCAAUCUGAAUCGUUGAUUCAAAUUAAUCAAAGGCCCAUGUUAGCAAUCCAUACUCAUUUCUAAUAUCCAAUCAUAAAAUAGAAAUUUAAAUAAAUAGUUAAAUAGAAAAUCAAAAAAUAUUAAAAAAAUAUCUCUUUCAAUCCAAUUGCUAGGUGCCACGUGGCAAUCUUAUCUUCUUGUGACUGGUACAUGGCUGGCAAGUGGUCCUCUCACUCCACACUCCUCUCCAACGGUACAAAAUAAAAGAA